ACGGUGGCUCUCCUAGACGGGGAAAACGACAAAUCACUCCGAGUCUCUCUCUCUCUCCGGCUCUGAUGUUUGAAGAAUCGUAUCUCUCUCUUGGCGGAUCUUAUCAAAGUCGUCUCUCUCACGGCGGCUCUGAUCGAAAUCGUGUCUCUCUCACGGCGGCUCUGAUCAAAAUCGUCCCUCUUUCACAGCGGCUCUGAUCGAAAUCUUCUCUCUCACGGCGGCUCGAAUCACUCCGCCUCUAAAGCUAAGUUAUUGUGUUCAUAUGUCUGGUUAUCAAUGUAUGAUUAUCAAUGGUGAUAUGUUUUAUUGUAUCGUUUAUGUCUGGUUAUCAAUGUUGAUAUGUUUGAUUGGAUCGUUUAUGUCUGUUGAUUCUGUCUGGUUAUUAAUCCACCUUGUUCGGGUCACAAGUUUAUCAAGUUCAUAAGUUUGUUGUCUUGAUUUGUUUGUUGUGUUGCUAUGUUAUGCUCUGUUGGUUUCUGUCUGGAAGGAAUGUUAAAUCCUUCAUGUUCAAUGUCGAUAUGUUUGUUGUGUUCCGGUGAUUAAUCGUUUGAUUCUUUUUGAUAGUUUCAGU
rnacentral:lncRNA from 1 species